CUGCCAGCUGCUGUUGGAUCCCUAAGCGUACUGGGAAUAAUGAUCAGUGGAAUCUAGUGACCACGGUGGAUUUGGGGAUCAGAUCUGACACUAAGGAACCAAACAGAUCACCAGCCGUUGCUAUUCUCCCUUUCCUAAGAGUUCCUCAGAACUGUCCCCGGACAUACAAGCUGAUGGCCUUCGAUCCUGAUGGAGACAAAGUUCAAUGCAGAUAUGGAAAUAUUAAAACUGGAGAGUGUUCCCUGUGUGACCAACCUUCAGGCUUUCACUUAAAUGAGGGAACCUGCACAUUACAUUACCACUCGUCCAGCGCUGACUCCAGAGUUUAUGGAUUUGAGUUGGUGGUGGAGGACUUCCCAGUAGGCUCCAUCAAUCUGACCUACUCCGAUGGAUCCCGAUCCUCCAGGACCCCACUGCUUGUGAGGCAUAAGAGAUCGGUAAAUCAUAAUGCACAAACAACCAUCGCGGCACCAACAACCACCGCAACACACAC